AUUGAACGCUGGCGGCAUGCCUUACACAUGCAAGUCGAACGGUAACAGGUUAAGCUGACGAGUGGCGAACGGGUGAGUAAUACAUCGGAACGUGCCCAGUAGUGGGGGAUAGCCCGGCGAAAGCCGGAUUAAUACCGCAUACGACCUAAGGGUGAAAGGGGGGGAUCGCAAGACCUCUCGCUAUUGGAGCGGCCGAUGUCAGAUUAGCUAGUUGGUGGGGUAAAAGCUCACCAAGGCGACGAUCUGUAGCUGGUCUGAGAGGACGACCAGCCACACUGGGACUGAGACACGGCCCAGACUCCUACGGGAGGCAGCAGUGGGGAAUGUUGGACAAUGGGCGCAAGCCUGAUCCAGCCAUGCCGCGUGCGGGAAGAAGGCCUUCGGGUUGUAAACCGCUUUUGUCAGGGAAGAAAUCCUUUGGGUUAAUACCUCGGGGGGAUGACGGUACCUGAAGAAUAAGCACCGGCUAACUACGUG
rnacentral:rRNA from 1 species